GACGAACGCUGGCGGCGUGCUUAACACAUGCAAGUCGAACGGAAAGGCCCUGCUUUUGUGGGGUGCUCGAGUGGCGAACGGGUGAGUAACACGUGAGUAACCUGCCCUUGACUUUGGGAUAACUUCAGGAAACUGGGGCUAAUACCGGAUAGGAGCUCCUGCUGCAUGGUGGGGGUUGGAAAGUUUCGGCGGUUGGGGAUGGACUCGCGGCUUAUCAGCUUGUUGGUGGGGUAGUGGCUUACCAAGGCUUUGACGGGUAGCCGGCCUGAGAGGGUGACCGGCCACAUUGGGACGGGGUAACGGCCCAGCCCCAAUCGGGGGGAAGGAGGGGGAAAUGAUUCCCAAAGGGCGGGCGCCUGGAGGAGCAACCCCGGGGGGGGGAUGGCGGCCUUCGGUUUGGAACCCCCUUUCGCUUGAGCGGAAGGGUAAGGACCGGAAAGGGUGAAAAAACCCCGGCUAACUUCGUU
rnacentral:rRNA from 1 species